UAUGUGAUCGUCUCUCGCAUAUCAAUAAGCGGAGGAAAAGAAACUAACAAGGAUUCCCCUAGUAACGGCGAGUGAAGCGGGAAGAGCUCAAAUUUGAAAUCUUAAAGGGUUUCCCUUUACGAAUUGUAGUUUAAAGAAGUGUUUUCUGUUGAGGUUUUGGUAAAAGUUCUUUGGAAUAGGACAUCAUAGAGGGUGAGAAUCCCGUAUUUGACCUUUACUUUCAACUUUGUGAUACACUUUCAAAGAGUCGGAUUGUUUGGGAAUGCAGUCCAAAAUGGGUGGUAAAUUUCAUCUAAAGCUAAAUAUUGGCGAGAGACCGAUAGCGAACAAGUACCGUGAGGAAAAGAUGAAAAGAACUUUGAAAAGAGAGUUGAAACAGUACGUGAAAUUGUCAAAAGGGAAGCGUUUGACACCAGUGUUGUUUUUCUGAAAAUCAAUUAAAGAACUGUUUAUGCUAAGUUGUUUAGACUUUAUCAGCUAACUGUUUAGUUUUGAGCUUUUCUUUAAUGCACUUUUCAGUUAACAAGUCAACAUCAAUUUCUUUUGCUGUAAAAAAGCUUGAGGAAGGUGGCUUGAGAUUCGUCUUAAGUGUUUAUAGCCUCUUGCCUAUGCAGUCGGAGAGAUUGAGGUCUGCAGCGUAGAUCCUUCGGGGCUAAAUGCAUUUGUGCUAAGUUAUAGCAUUUUAUAGACAACUUGUUGACUAUGAUUUGUCUUGUAGCUUACUCGCUUAUGUUAUUUUACCUACGCUUAGGAUGUUGACACACGCGCGUGCUCG
rnacentral:rRNA from 1 species